rnacentral:rRNA from 1 species
GGUUAAGCGACUAAGCGUACACGGUGGAUGCCCUGGCAGUCAGAGGCGAUGAAGGACGUGCUAAUCUGCGAUAAGCGUCGGUAAGGUGAUAUGAACCGUUAUAACCGGCGAUUUCCGAAUGGGGAAACCCAGUGUGAUUCGUCACACUAUCAUUAACUGAAUCCAUAGGUUAAUGAGGCGAACCGGGGGAACUGAAACAUCUAAGUACCCCGAGGAAAAGAAAUCAACCGAGAUUCCCCCAGUAGCGGCGAGCGAACGGGGAGGAGCCCAGAGCCUGAAUCAGUGUGUGUGUUAGUGGAAGCGUCUGGAAAGGCGCGCGAUACAGGGUGACAGCCCCGUACACAAAAAUGCACAUGCUGUGAGCUCGAUGAGUAGGGCGGGACACGUGGUAUCCUGUCUGAAUAUGGGGGGACCAUCCUCCAAGGCUAAAUACUCCUGACUGACCGAUAGUGAACCAGUACCGUGAGGGAAAGGCGAAAAGAACCCCGGCGAGGGGAGUGAAAAAGAACCUGAAACCGUGUACGUACAAGCAGUGGGAGCACGCUUAGGCGUGUGACUGCGUACCUUUUGUAUAAUGGGUCAGCGACUUAUAUUCUGUAGCAAGGUUAACCGAAUAGGGGAGCCGAAGGGAAACCGAGUCUUAACUGGGCGUUAAGUUGCAGGGUAUAGACCCGAAACCCGGUGAUCUAGCCAUGGGCAGGUUGAAGGUUGGGUAACACUAACUGGAGGACCGAACCGACUAAUGUUGAAAAAUUAGCGGAUGACUUGUGGCUGGGGGUGAAAGGCCAAUCAAACCGGGAGAUAGCUGGUUCUCCCCGAAAGCUAUUUAGGUAGCGCCUCGUGAAUUCAUCUCCGGGGGUAGAGCACUGUUUCGGCAAGGGGGUCAUCCCGACUUACCAACCCGAUGCAAACUGCGAAUACCGGAGAAUGUUAUCACGGGAGACACACGGCGGGUGCUAACGUCCGUCGUGAAGAGGGAAACAACCCAGACCGCCAGCUAAGGUCCCAAAGUCAUGGUUAAGUGGGAAACGAUGUGGGAAGGCCCAGACAGCCAGGAUGUUGGCUUAGAAGCAGCCAUCAUUUAAAGAAAGCGUAAUAGCUCACUGGUCGAGUCGGCCUGCGCGGAAGAUGUAACGGGGCUAAACCAUGCACCGAAGCUGCGGCAGCGACGCUUAUGCGUUGUUGGGUAGGGGAGCGUUCUGUAAGCCUGCGAAGGUGUGCUGUGAGG